AUUGAACGCUGGCGGCAGGCCUAACACAUGCAAGUCGAACGGUAACAGGAAGAAGCUUGCUUCUUUGCUGACGAGUGGCGGACGGGUGAGUAAUGUCUGGGAAACUGCCUGAUGGAGGGGGAUAACUACUGGAAACGGUAGCUAAUACCGCAUAACGUCGCAAGACCAAAGAGGGGGACCUUCGGGCCUCUUGCCAUCGGAUGUGCCCAGAUGGGAUUAGCUAGUAGGUGGGGUAACGGCUCACCUAGGCGACGAUCCCUAGCUGGUCUGAGAGGAUGACCAGCCACACUGGAACUGAGACACGGUCCAGACUCCUACGGGAGGCAGCAGUGGGGAAUAUUGCACAAUGGGCGCAAGCCUGAUGCAGCCAUGCAGCGUGUAUGAAGAAGGCCUUCGGGUUGUAAAGUACUUUCAGCGGGGAGGAAGGGAGUAAAGUUAAUACCUUUACUCAUUGACGUUACCCGCAGAAGAAGCACCGGCUAACUCCGUG
rnacentral:rRNA from 1 species